UAACCACAGCUUGGAGCACGGGAACAACCACCAGGACGUGUGAAAGCACCGUGCUGGUGAGGCUCAGCGGCUGCCCACACCCCUAAUGGAAACCGAUUGCAGCUGAGCAGCAAGCAGUAAUGAUGUAAUGGUCUCUGGCAUUUCACCCUGAUAAUGUCACGGUCUUUAUAGCCUCUUUAAUACAUUUCAUUGCCUGACGCCGUUUGGUACCUGACUUUUGUAAAAUCAAUGAGUGAAAAUAAAAUCCUUUUACAGAUCAGGAUUCUUCCUGCGGAGAAGGGAACACCCAGAUGCAGGCAGGGAGGUCAUGGGGGAGUUUAUGAAAGGCAACGAAGCACGUGGGGCUUGUGGAGAGUGCGGUGCAUUCUUGGGGUGAAAACGGGGAUUUUGUGACCAGCAGGACACUGCGGAAGGGCCGGUGCCUGGCUGCGUCACGCUGGCUCUGCACAUCCCGCUGCUGGGAGCCUCACCAGGUGCUCAGCACGUGGAAGAGCCAAGCACGAGCCGCAGCUGUGUCAGAUGCCACAGGUACAAUGUGGCCACAUCCCUGCUCUGUGCCUCGGCUCCUUUCUGCCAGGAAGAGAGUGCAACUCCCGCCUUGUUCCCUUCGCUGUGCGAGCAUCUUCAGGCAGGGAUGCUGCGCCGCUCGCUUGCCAGUGAGGGUUCCUGACCCCGCUCGGAACUGGAGCCAGGUAGCCUGGUGGCAAUUCCUCACCUCCCCAGGCACGUGGGCUUGUUUUUAACGCGCAGGGAGCAGCGCUGGGCGCAGGACACUCGCGUCGUGCAUGAGACUCGGACCAGGAUCCGACCAGCAGCUCUCCUGGCCACCCCGUGCCUGGAAAGCCAGGCCCAGAGGGACACAUUGGGAGAAGCGAGGAGCUCCAAGGAUGUGGUGCGAAGCUCCGCGUGGCCCCUGCGUGCUGGGCUCAGCCAGGGCGGCCGCGGCUCCGGUUGGGGCAGGCGCUCACGUCGGCUGCAAGAAAUGAACGUCAGCCGCGUUGUGAGGAUGCGUGGUUUUAUUUUUCAGCUUCCCCUUUGUAGCUGUUCCCAAUCUGGUAACAAAGACUUUAACCCUUCGCUCAGGCGCAACGAAACCGUUCUUUUCCUUUUAAGCCUGUUUGGUGUUGACAGCGGGUUUGGCUGCAGCUGGCAGAAACGGGGCACAUCUCUGUCACAAGAGCUGAACGCAGUAAUGUGCAGAAAUUGGUGGUAUGGAGAAAGCCUUGGGGAGGCUAUAACUCGAGGCAAGUUUGGGGUCCUUAGGACAGGGGAAUAUUUCCAUUACACCGCAAGCCACAAAAGCAGCCCGAGGGGCUUGGUGGGGGUCGGAAGCAAAGCAAAGACUGCCGUUACAGCGAGCUUUACAGGUUUAUUCAUUUUUAAUUCUUUCGACCUAGAAAAUGCAAACAGCAUCUUGUAGCCCCAGACGGCAACAGGAGAGCCACGGGGCUGCGUGCCCGAGGCACUGCCACACUCCUGGCCACAGAAAGACCUGCUGCCUGGGACCACGAGGCAGCCACCUGAGCCACCUUCUCCCCAAACUGCGUUCCCAUGGGAGACCCAGACUCUUGCCCUCUGCGACCAACCAGGGCUGAGGCACAAAGAGUGGAGGACGGCUCCCAGGCACCCCGCAAAGUGGUUUUGGGAUGUGCAAUGGGUUCCCCGGGUGGGGUGUGUGUCUGGGAUGCUUGGGUGGGAUGAGUGGGAAGGGUGCCACAUGGGAUGCGCAGCGAGAUGCUCUCCAGAGCCUCCCUGGCUUGCAAACGGAAGGGAAGAGCUGCGGGCAGGAAGCUCCCAGGUGUCUGCAAUGGCACCAGCAGGGACCUGAGGACAAGGGAUAAUGGCAGCACAGAGCCACCAGUGCCAUCCUUCAUGCUGCCCCAGGACGGGUGACACGGAGGUGCCAGCGGGGAACCAGGGGAUGGCAGCCGGGCAGCUGGGUGCUGUGCGUGUGAGCUCUGACCACGCAGGUCUUUUAUCUUCCUGCUCCCGGUGUCUUUAUUGAGCAGGGCAUAACUUUCCGGCCAUGUAUUCCUGCAGCCAAAAAAAUAACUCCGUGCUCUUUAAGGAGGUAAAUUUUCUUUAGAUCUCACCCUUCAACGAGUGUGCUACAGCGGUGUCUCACGGGGGAACUUGCCAGAGUCCAUCCACGUAAAUAAAACUAUUGAAGACGGUAGGAGGGAUUUUUGUGUGUGCGUCUUACUACAGAACUCAAAUCCAGGAAAGCUUUUAACAGCAACAAAGGAAACGAGCAGCCUGCACAAUGCUUCCCUGCCCGAGCGGCUCAGGCUCACCCGCGCUCUCUCCAGGAACCGCUCCGCCUCGCCAGGUGAGCGCUGCCCCACUUCAAGCCGCCCCAAGCGAGCUCUUUCUGAGCAGAAAGACAGAGGCGAUGGGGCACCGGGGAGCUCUAUUUCGAGAUCAAAGCAGGCGUGAUGGAACAGGGCCCGGCGCCAGCGAUUUCAGGCUGGAAGCGCCCGUCUGUGCGCGCAGGGCUCCCGCUGAGCCCCCACUCCCAGCGCCGUCUGCUGCCUGCCCAUGCCCAUGGGGCCCCCCCAGCUCAUGCCGUGGCUGUUUCGGCUGCCACCCUGGCUUUUCGGGGCGAGCAGCAGGAGGGUGUUUGUGGGGUGCCACCGGACGAGGCUGCGGACACAGCCCCCUGCUUGGCCGGGGGUGGGCACUGGGAAGCCCUGCAGCAGGGUGCACGUGGAGGUGGCAGGCAGGGGGCAAGCAGAGGGUGCGAGCAGGCAGCAGCAAACGUGGUGGCUGGAAUACUUGUAGCAAUAAGGAGAAAAUAAAAAUAAUACGUGGUAACAUCCCCCCGCAUGGCAUCGCAUGGCUCCCACAGCAGUGAGCACUGGGGGACAGGGGGCUGGCACCUCGAGGGAGCGUGGGUGAAACCAUUGCUUUGCCUCCCCAAGCGACACCGGAACCAUGAACUCUGGAUACGCAAUGCCCUGAAGCAACCAUCGGGCUUGCAAAAAAAACCUGCUGAGGCUGAGGCUCCUGCUAAACUCAUCACCCACUGCAGAGCGGGGCUGGCCUCUCUAAAAUCGCUUGGGGAAGAGGAGCCACGGCCGAGCUGCCCCUGAACGGCCCAAACCGUGCGGGCACCUGAACCUGGCCCCAAUACCGGGACACCAAGUCCCGACAUCCCCCCAGGGGUCUCUGGAGCAUGCAUGCUGUGCCAUGCAGGACACGGACAGGCUUCCUCCAGGUUUAAUUUCAGGGAUGGACUGAGAGCUGAGGGGGGUCAGAGGCCCCCCGCUCCCUCCCGCUUGCCCCUGCUCGCAGCUCCUGGCCCCGUUCCCUGCCUCCUGCUGCGCACGGACAGCCUCCAGCUGCCGGGCGGACAGAGCGCGGCUGCUCUCUGUAGCUCUUGGCACGUCGGUCUGUCGGGCAGGAGCCGGGAGGAGGGCUGGGUUUGGGAGGCCCCUCCGGGUGCGGGGCUGCCUGGGGGCACGGUGGCGGGGAGCCCCAGGAGCUGGAACCCCCCCGCUGCCUCUCCUGCUUGUUCUUAAAGAGCUCCAAGCCCCGUGCGAA